AUUGAACGCUAGCGGGAUGCUUUACACAUGCAAGUCGAACGAGUGGCGGACGGGUGAGUAAUGUCUGGGAAACUGCCUGAUGGAGGGGGAUAACUACUGGAAACGGUAGCUAAUACCGCAUACCAUCGGAUGUGCCCAGAUGGGAUUAGCUAGUAGGUGGGGUAAAGGCUCACCUAGGCGACGAUCCCUAGCUGGUCUGAGAGGAUGACCAGCCACACUGGAACUGAGACACGGUCCAGACUCCUACGGGAGGCAGCAGUGGGGAAUAUUGCACAAUGGGCGCAAGCCUGAUGCAGCCAUGCCGCGUGUAUGAAGAAGGCCUUCGGGUUGUAAAGUACUUUCAGCGGGGAGGCGUUACCCGCAGAAGAAGCACCGGCUAACUCCGUGCCAGCAGCCGCGGUAAUAC
rnacentral:rRNA from 1 species